rnacentral:rRNA from 1 species
CGGGUGAGUAACACGUGAGUGACCUGCCUUUUAGACUGGAACAACUUACCGAAAGGUGAGCUAAUGCCGGAUGAGUUAUAUAAGUGCAUGUUUAUAUAGGAAAAGUUGGGGAGACCUGACGCUGAAAGAUGGACUCGCGUCCCAUUAGCUAGUUGGUAGGGUAAUGGCCUACCAAGGCGACGAUGGGUAGCCGGCCUGAGAGGGUGGCCGGCCACACUGGGGACUGAGACACGGCCCAGACUCCUACGGAAGGCAGCAG